AUUGAACGCUGGCGGCAUGCCUUACACAUGCAAGUCGAACGGUAACGGGCCUUCGGGUGCCGACGAGUGGCGAACGGGUGAGUAAUGCAUCGGAACGUACCUUUCAGUGGGGGAUAACGUAGCGAAAGUUACGCUAAUACCGCAUAUUCUGUGAGCAGGAAAGCAGGGGAUCGCAAGACCUUGCGCUGAUUGAGCGGCCGAUGUCAGAUUAGCUAGUUGGUGAGGUAAAGGCUCACCAAGGCGACGAUCUGUAGCGGGUCUGAGAGGAUGAUCCGCCACACUGGAACUGAGACACGGUCCAGACUCCUACGGGAGGCAGCAGUGGGGAAUUUUGGACAAUGGGGGCAACCCUGAUCCAGCCAUGCCGCGUGAGUGAAGAAGGCCUCGGUUGUAAGACUCUUUCGGUCC
rnacentral:rRNA from 1 species